CCGAGGAUGAGCCCGCGGUGGAUUAGCUUGUUGGCGGGGUAACGGCCCGCCAAGGCGACGAUCCAUAGCUGGUCUGAGAGGACGAUCAGCCACACUGGGACUGAGACACGGCCCAGACUCCUACGGGAGGCAGCAGUGGGGAAUCUUGCGCAAUGGGCGAAAGCCUGACGCAGCGACGCCGCGUGGGGGAAGAAGGCCUUAGGGUUGUAAACCUCUUUCAGGUGGGACGAAGCCACUCGGGUUAAUAGCCCAGAGGGUGACGGUACCGCCAGAAGAAGCCCCGGCUAACUACGUGCCAGCAGCCGCGGUAAUACGUAGGGGGCAAGCGUUGUCCGGAUUUAUUGGGCGUAAAGAGCGUGUAGGCGGCCAGGUAGGUCGGUUGUGAAAACUGGAGGCUCAACCUUCAGACGUCGACCGAAACCAUCUGGCUAGAGUCCGGAAGAGGAGAGUGGAAUUCCUGGUGUAGCGGUGGAAUGCGCAGAUAUCAGGAAGAACACCCGUGGCGGAGGCGGCUCUCUGGGACGGUACUGACGCUGAGACGCGAAAGCGUGGGGAGCGAACAGGAUUAGAUACCCUGGUAGUUCACGCCGUAAACGAUGGGUGCUAGGUGUGGGGGGUGUCGACUCCCCCCGUGCCGAAGCUAACGCAUUAAGCACCCCGCCUGGGGAGUACGGCCGCAAGGCUAAAACUCAAAGGAAUUGACGGAAUCGAAUU
rnacentral:rRNA from 1 species